rnacentral:rRNA from 1 species
UGAGGAAUAUUGGUCAAUGGGCGCAAGCCUGAACCAGCCAUCCCGCGUGCAGGAUGACGGCCCUAUGGGUUGUAAACUGCUUUUAUACAGGAAGAAAAAUCUCUACGUGUAGAGACUUGCCGGUACUGUAUGAAUAAGCAUCGGCUAACUCCGUGCCAGCAGCCGCGGUAAUACGGAGGAUGCAAGCGUUAUCCGGAUUCAUUGGGUUUAAAGGGUGCGUAGGCGGCUUUUUAAGUCAGUGGUGAAAUCCUGUCGCUCAACGAUAGAAUUGCCAUUGAUACUGAAAAGCUUGAGUUCAGUUGAGGUAAGCGGAAUGUGUAGUGUAGCGGUGAAAUGCUUAGAUAUUACACAGAACACCGAUUGCGAAGGCAGCUUACUAAACUGACACUGACGCUGAUGCACGAAAGCGUGGGGAUCGAACA